CCCGGUUGCCCGGCGCUCGGUGACGGCGGGAUGCCUUUCCGGGGCGGGGUGCGCUCCCUGCCCCGACCGCGGGCCCCGGGCGGGGGGUGCCGCUCCCGGCGGCCUCGGCCUGUCCCGGCAGUGGGCACGGAGCUCUCGGGGCCCGUCCCCAGCGCCUGCCGGCCCGGCUCUCUGGGAUAGGCGCAGGCUGCGUUGAAAGUAAUCGAUGUUCUGGAGAGGUUGCUGUGUGCUCUGAGUUUGCUGUAAUGUAUUGAAUCAGUCCUCAUGACUAAAGCUUGGUGUCUGUGUCAGGUGUACAGCCCAUGAUGUAAGGGAGAAGCUGAACCUGGCUUGUACUCAGAAGUUUUCCUGGAGUAACAUAACGGGGAUGAAAUUAAUUUCUUCUGCUGUCCUGUUCUAGGCUUGCAAGUUUCUCCACUUUUCUGCAAUGGAUAGGAAUAUCUGAAUGUUUCUAUAAACUUUCAGAUAGUUUGCACCUGAUGUUUCUUUUUGACUAAAACACCUGCAGGCAGUUCCUCCAGGAGGAGAUACUGUGUAUUAAUGUCCAUGGGCAGUAGAUCUCUAAUGAACAUCCAGGUAUUGUCUGAAAAAUAAUGAUGCCAAAACAUCCCACAUCCUGGUUGGUCAAUAACUCCUGACUCCGUGGUGCUGCCCUGCGUGUUGGGAGAGGGAAUAGACAGCUGGAGUGGUGAUUUCUGCCAGAAGAACUUCUCGGAGCAGGCAGUGUCUGUGGUACUUGGGAUUUUUACCUUAUCCUGGCCUUGUGUUUAUUUGGGAUCAUAACACCUGCCCUGCAGCAAGUUUGAUGAGCAUGCCUGGAAGUGUCACAGAGAUGGGUGUGCUGAACUGCUGCCACUUCCGUGCCCUGUGCAGCUUGCCAAGUACAGGCUUCAGGGCUCCUGGCCCUGUCACCCUCGCUGCUGCCUGGACUGGGUGGGCAUGUUCAUUUAGCCCUGCACUGGGUGACUGCUUUUCAGAAACAGGCACACAGGGGUAAGCUUUUAUGGGACAAUGCCAGUUUGACAGCUUAGCCAUGGCUCGGAGCACCCUGCCUGCAAGACAGCUGUGUCCUAGUUCAGUGUUGUUGUAUACAGAACAUACAGAAGACCAAAGUGGGCUUUGUCUGGUCCCAGGUGCCCUCUGAUACAGAGGAGGAGCUGCCAGGAAGCACAAACAUAGAUGUGUUCAGAUUUCCUUCAUCGUGAAAGCAUCUUUGUGGUCUGUGGAGCUCCUCUGCAGUAGCUGUCUCUCCCCAUCCGCUCCUCGGGUCACCUCGAGGACAAAUGUGAACUUGGGGAAGCCCAGUUCGCCAUGUGUAAAACUUAGUGAAUUGCCUCCUUGAACAGAAUGAAGCCUCGGGCUUGCUUUUCUAGGAAAAUAGCCCAGAAUAGCUAUUCCUUUCUGUGCCUGGAAAACACAAUUUAGCCCUGAUGAAAAGCUUAGGCAAAGAUGAGCUGCCACCUGCUGGCUCCAUAAGGCUUUGGGCUGGGCAUUGUUUGCUGGUUCCCUGGGCAGGAGAACCUGGAUCCCGUGCCCUACCCCAGGCUGGAGUUCUGGGAGGCUCAGAUGGGUUUUUGAGAGCUUUCUGCUAAGAAAAGCAGCAUUGGGCUGUUCAGCAGAGGCAUUAGAAAAAUAUCCUAAGGAACCUUCUGGGACUAUGGUAAUAGUUACAUUUACUAAUUUUUCUCCUAGCUUUGGUAAGUAAAGAUAGCUCUUUCAAGUGCAGCACAUUCUUCAUAAACAGUUCUGUAUAAUCUGGAAAAUAAAAUUGUUGCCAUCGUUGGGGUUCCCUGGGGAAAUGCUCAGAUUAGGCUCCUCCAAGGAGCUGGGAUGGUCUGGGGCCCUCAGUGGUGCAGGAAUGCUGACAGCCCUGUGGACCCCCCUGCUCUGGGCCGGGUUCACGCAGAGGCUGGGGGGAAGGAGGCCUGGGAGGAACAAAUGAGAUUAAAGUGAACUCUGUGAAUGUGCUGGCCAAAACCAGCUCGGUUUGUUUUUCGUGAUGUUGCUUCUAUUUUAAAAUCCAAGUCACGGAAACCAUUUGCAGUGGACUUUAACAACACUGGAGUUUCCUGUGGGCAGGUUGUUUCUAAAGAGUUUCUCCUGUUUGGUCCCAAGAAAUUGUGUUCUUAAAUAUAAUAGAAAUUGGGGGGCAAAGUGGGGAGUUUUUAAAGAAAAAUUAGCAGCUUGCUAUUUUUAGAAUCUUUUGGUUUUUAAAAGUAUACUUUUAGAGAGGAGAGGAGAAAACAAACAUACUUUAACUUGUGGAUAAGAGGUGUGUGGAAGUUGCUUGACAGUCUUUCAGGGGAUGAUUCAGGUAAUUAUAAAAUGGCCUUAAGUAAAGUUACUGCUGUUUUCUCACUUCUUUAGUUCUUAAUUGAUUUCUCAGGUAAAGGAAUAGCAACAAGAUUUUUGUCUCUAUGAUACCCAGCAGAGUUUUUUCAUUUUUAAUUUUUCAAUUUGUCUUCUGCAUAAUAAACAGAGAAUUGAAAUUGGAUGGACUGGAAGUGAUGGCUUUGUUUCCAUUUCCCUAAAUAUUUCUUAUGUGACUAUGAAGUUGCUGAAGAACUUCCCCUUAUAUAUCUGAAAAAGCCCUUUGGACUCUUAACAUAUGUAAUGUUUUCAUGGUAAAGCUAAGAAGGAUACUUAGAACAAAACUAGCUUGCUCAUCAAAGAAGGGCAAAGUAUUUGCAAAGCCAAAAUUGAUGGUUACAUUUUUGCCUGUGAUUUUGCAGUAAGAUCACACACAAAAUAUAUAUAAUGUGCCACAAAUAUUCACAGGCUGAGUAACUGCACUGUCUAAAAACUUGUAGUUUUUCUCUCGUGUCUCUAUGCAGAACUGCUGCAGUGAGCGGUGGAAAACAGAUAGAGUACCAAGUGUGUUUAAUGUGAGAUGAAGGGCUUAUUUGAUUAGAUUAGGGCUUCAGCUGGCCUUUAUGCCCUUUUAUGCAGUAAGAAUUCCUAACACCGUGUUUUAAAACCUGAUUUUUAGCAUGUUAUAUACUGGUGUUUUAUAUACUGUGAUUUCUUUUGUAGGGAAUGUUUCUUUAAGUCAUUCCAAGCUAUCUCUGUGUAGUACAGAUGUACUAAUCAAUGCUACCAUCAUAAAGUUUUAAAGGUUUGUCACAUUAAGUGUGCUUUCAUAUUACAAAAAACCUACUACCUUUGGUAGAUAUUAGAAAACAUGUCCAAAUCAUAAAUUUAUAUUUACCAGGCUGCAUGUGGUUCUCUUCCUCUUGAUGAAGUGAAGACUCAGCUACAGAGACAUAGAGCUUUUGUUCUGCUUCUUUAUUUUUCAUUUUGUGUGUGUGUGUGCCUGAACGCUGUAGCUGAGGAUUUGAAAUGGCUUCUUUGGUCAUAUUAUAGAAACAAGUGAGACCAAGGGCUGUGACCUGAACAUUAAUUAAUGUAUUGCAAAGGAUGAGUAGUUUUUCCAUAUGAAACGUACCAGUGCAGUAAAUAAAAGGUAAUUAAUUCUGGAUGGCAGCAUUUUACAGCAAUUAAUGGAGAGGAAAUACAGCCUACGUGAAGAUAAUGUAUGGUUAUGCAGUGCUGCUCUCUGUCAGAGUAAGGGCAGCAUUAUUCUACAGCCUGCUAACCAUUCUGCUCCUUGUAAUUACCUCUUAAAACUACGCCUUUUAAUAUUUGAAUGCAAAUGGACAUGCAGAAAUGUGGUAAAUAGCAGAGUCUUGAUGUAGGGCUCAGACAGUGCAGCCUGGUCACAAACAAUGCUGUAUAAUCGGCUGCAGGAAAUGUUUUCUCAUAUGAUAGUGUGUAAUGGCUUGAACUGUCAGGAAGGGCAAAACAUUAAGGCUCUAGGAAUGAGAAGUUCUCAUGCAGAUUGUGUGGCAUCUGCUGUCAUCAGCUAAUUGUCCAUCAGCUGCUGUGCACCUGGAGAAACAAAUACCACUAGACUAUGGAAAACUGUGGGAGGUGGCUCUCUCGGCCACAGAGACACUCCUUAGUUACUUUUGGAACUUAGGAAAACACAGGCAUGCUGCUCUCUGCAUUUUCUGCAGCCACCAAACUCGGAUGCUCCUACCUCUGCAGCCUCUUUGCAAAAGGUCCAGGCUCCUUCAGCAUGAUUGGGUUUAGUUUGGAGGAAGCCAGGUGGUGUUCUUUUGAUGUAAUUUACCAUGAAAUUGGGAAUUCCUCCUGGUUUCUGUUAUGUUCAGGAGAACUCUGCCUAAACUGGUAGUUCAGCUUUGGAAUUGUGUUCCAUCGAUGUCAGCUGUAGUUUACAAGCAUGGUCUAGUAUUUAUAUCUGCAAUAUUUUUUUAAAGAAGACAUGCUGAAAGUAUCUGUAAAUAUAUUCCUCAUUCAGAUGUAGAUGUUGUUAGGGACUGAAAAUUUACCAUUCUUGCAAUGGCAAUUGUUAAAACCAGAUUUACUUUACAGGUACACUUACUUGAUUGAACAGUGGGGAUGAAGCUUUAUGUGCUCAUGUCUGUUUAGUGUCUCUGAAUUAAAAUGUAACUGUGGCAGCCCGGGAGACCUUUCUUGGUGUAAACAACUGAGGAGAAGGAAUCCUGUAAGCAGAAUUCCAUGGUAUAGUGUGUAUGUAUAUGCAGUCCUUCUUUUUAUUUUACUUAAGAGCCAGUAACUACAUUGAUCUGUUUUUUAAGUACACUGUAAGUGCAGGUUUGAAGCAAUGCAGUUGUGUAUGUGGUUGUGAGCAUCUGACCUGGAAUGGGGCUACUGGAGAAGAAAUAACAUUUGCUGUGUGUCUAGUCUGUGUUGAGUAUUUCUAUAGAGCCAAGAAAGGGUUUAAAGAGACUAAUGAGCCUGAAUGUAUGGAUUUAGCUUUUGCUCCCCAAAUACCUUAUGGGCACUCUUGCUUACCUACAGAGAGUCAUUCAAGUUAUCUUUUUUUGUCUGUGUGCUCAAUCAACUUGAAGCAGGAAUUUGGUUGAACAAAAUGAGAAUCCUGUAACUUCUUUCACAAAAAUGAGAGGAAACAACUUGUCUGCUUCAACACUGCUGUGAUUAACUGUUUUUUUCCCAAAACAAAUGCUCAAAAAUUCUGAGUGUUAGGAAAAAGGUUCCCUGCACUCUUCUUGUCCAUGAGAAGUGCUAUAUAGACUGUACAUCUUUUGAAGGACCCUGAUUAUUUCCUCCAAGUGUAAUAUUUUGAGAGCAGUUACAUAGUCUGUUCUUUAUUUUAAAAUUAAAAAAAAUAAUAAUUUCUUUUUGUAGGAUUGACUGGAGUGCUGCUACUUAGGAGCUGUAUCUCUUACACUUUUCAUCAGGGUAUUGUGAUUUUCCUUGUACAGAACAGAAUGUUGCUUCAAUGGUAGUUCUAUAAUUAACUCAGAGGCAAACUUCCUCUGUUUCCUCUGUAGGUAAUAUGCAGGGAUAUGAGUCAGUAAUAACCAAUUAGCUUGUUUAUAGUGAAGUUCUCCUUAACUGCCCUCGAACUGCAGCAGCAACAAUAAAUGAGGAGCAUCUUAACUCUUCUUUUGGCUGCAUUGUCUGCAGUGAAAAUGACCAUCUGCAUAAAAACCACUGGCGUUAACUGGACUCAUAAAUACUAGGUAGAGUUGGUAUGUCCUCCCUCCUACCCUACAACCUGCCCUACUCUGUGGGAAUUAUGGCCUUGGAGUUCUCGUUGAGAAGACUGGGUACUGACUUUCAUCUGGAAAUAGAGGUGGCUUAGUUACUGAUGGAAAAGGGCAUGGCAGGACGGGAUUCUCGUCAGAGGAGAAGCAAAGUGUACACAGCUUCCAUGUGCUCCUUGGCUGUAGAGUAACAGAUACGACUACUGGAUGAAAAGCUUUCCUUUCAGAGAUGUAUUUGGAAGUUGAAGAUGCUUCGUAGCUGGGAUAUUUGCCUUAACUAUGGUUCUUUGUUUUUAAAACUUUUUUUUCAUAGAUCUGGUUAAGAAUUAAGACUUGGGUUUGGAAGUAUUUGAGCAACUUGCUACUGCCCAAGUCAUGACGCUCCCAUUUCGAAAGGACUUGGACAAGUACAAAGACCUCGAUGAGGAUGAAAUUCUUGGCAAACUUUCGGAAGAAGAACUGAAACAACUGGAAACUGUUUUGGAUGAUCUUGACCCUGAGAACGCUCUGCUGCCCGCAGGCUUCCGGCAGAAGGACCAGACUGCAAAGAAGGCCUCGGGUCCCUUCGACCGGGAGCGGCUCCUGGCGUACUUGGAGAAGCAGGCACUUGAGCACAAGGACAGGGAGGACUAUGUGCCUUUUACAAGAGAAAAGAAAGGGAAAAUAUUUAUCCCCAAACAAAAGCCUGUACAGUCUUUUGCAGAAGAAAAAUUCUCUCUUGAUCCAGAACUGGAGGAAGCCUUGACCAGUGCCACAGACACAGAAUUAGGUGACCUUGCAGCUAUACUGGGGAUGUCCAACUUGAUAACAAACAAUCAGUUCUGUGAUGUAGUAGGAAGCAGUAAUGGGAUUGACAAAGACAGCUUCUCAAAUAUAGUAAAAGGUGAAAAAAUGUUGCCUGUUUUUGAUGAACCACCAAAUCCUACAAAUGUGGAGGAGACACUGCAAAGGAUCAAAGAUAAUGAUUCUCGUCUUGUUGAAGUUAAUCUAAAUAACAUUAAGAACAUACCAAUUCCAACGCUGAAAGAAUUUGCAAAAGCCUUAGAAACCAACACACAUGUGAAGAAUUUUAGCCUGGCAGCCACCCGAAGCAAUGAUCCUGUUGCUGUUGCUCUUGCAGAUAUGCUGAGAGUAAACACAAAAUUAAAAAGUUUAAACAUAGAAUCAAACUUCAUCACUGGAGCUGGAAUUCUGGCAUUGGUUGAUGCACUGAAAGACAAUGAAACGUUGACAGAGAUCAAAAUUGAUAAUCAGAGGCAGCAGCUGGGCACACUUGCAGAAGUAGAAAUUGCCAAAAUGCUUGAAGAAAACACCAAGAUCCUCAAAUUUGGAUACCAUUUCACACAACAGGGACCUCGAGCCAGAGCAGCUGCAGCUAUCACAAAAAAUAAUGAUUUAGUCUGGAGUAUGUGAGUAAAAGUUUCUGGGAAUACCUUUUCACCUCUCCAGCCGUGACGCUACAGAGACAGGUCACUCUGAAUACCCAGCUGGGUAUUCGGCACUGAAACUGAGAUGCUCCAAGUCUCUCAUCUCUGUCUUUUUCGCAAGAGAAGGGUUGAAGGAGACAAUUAGCAAUCCUGCUGUCAAAACUCGGUGGAGUCAGCACGGUCAGCACCGUGGGCUUUGGCAAUCUUGGACUACAUUGACUUGGCUUAGAAGGGAAAAGACUGGAAACCCCAUUCCUUUUAAAGCAAAGCUAUAUAAUGUGCUGGUAUGCAUCACGUUUUUCAUGGAGACACAGUAACUGCACCAGUCUCUGUACCUUGGUUUUUGACUGUUUUUUUUUUUUUAAGAACUUUUUUGUAUUUCAAGACUUCGGCUGAGCUUUCUACUUAAAAUGUAAUUGCAAAUCAAUGGUAUAAUUGUCUGUAGUCAAAGAAUGGGACAUUUAAGGUCAUUGGGAAGAUAAUGACCCAAUUGAAAUGUUUUUUAGAAAAUCCGGGGGCGCUUAUUUUCAUGGAGGGCUGUGUAUAUUCCUGAAAACAAUGCAUUAGUGAUAAGGGAUUCUUCACCCAACAGCUGGACUCAUUGUGUAGAGCUGUUCAGCUUUGUUCAUAUGCACUGAAGAGAAAUCUUUCACAGCAAUGUUAUUUGUAAUUCUACUGGUUUAUUUUUCAUUAGUUCUUGAUACUGUGAGUAAGUUUAAAGACAUCCCUUUAAGGCAAACAAAAAUAAGUUGGUAAAGGACUUCUCCCAGGAGAUUAGAGGGACUCAUACAAAAGACUUGCCAAAAAAAAAAAAAGAGGAGCCUUGCAAAAUGACAGUUUUGUUAUUAUACCUAAAUCCUUUUAAGUCUUUUUCAAAAGUGUCUUGCUCUGUAUCUGAACUGGAUAUAUAUUUUUAGACUGAUUUCAUGUGUUCAUCGACAUUAGUUUAUAUUAUUUGUUUAAAAAUCCUUAUCUACGUUCACAAGUAUCAAUUUCUCUAGAAGUAGUGGACAUGCAUAUUUUAAAUUCUGCAUAAUUGUACAGGAAAAGCAGCCUUAAGUGUAAAACCACUGACCUAAAUUGCUGGCAAAUGAAAAAUCCUUUAUUUCAAGCUGUUGUAUUAAGCUAUUUGUACUUCAUAUAAAUCUAUCAUUUUUAAUACUGAAGUAACACUGUUGAGAAAGGAUUUUUCUAUUUUACUUAUGUCUCAGCAUUGAAACACUACCUAAGACAUGCGAAAAUCAAUCAAUAUGCAGUGUCAGAUCUGUAUGGUGUAGUAAUUAUUAAAGUAUUUAAAGUUGUUUAAGCAAAUUAAUAAGGCAACAAGAAUCACUUCAACUUCUGCACAUAAUCACAAUACACUUCUUUGAAACAAUAUAAAAAUCUAGAGGCUUUUUGGUGUAGGUCUGCAUGGACUGUCCUGUACUAGUUUGCUUUGAGGUCACAAAAAUGUUCUAAAGGACUGCUUGGCUAUAUUUGUAGCAACAGAGAAUUCAACUGACAGCUCUUUCCAUUCAAAGGUCUUAAUGUGGUGAGCUUUUAUGUAUAGAAAACAUGUUUACAUGGAGGGGACUGAGGUGUUUGCAACAGGUUGUAUAUACCAUAAAAACUUAACAGAGCAAGUCUCUGACACUGUGCCCACAAUUUGCUGCAAAUCUUGUUUUGGAUCUUUAAAGACAGACUUUAUUCCAGAGGUGACUUCAAAUUUUACUGCAACUGUACAGAGAAUAUUAAACUAUAGUGCCUUCAGUGGGGAUGUAUAUAACUGGUUUAUACUUGUGGAAGAACUUUUUUUUUCCCUAUUUCAAAAUCAGCCUUUUAUUAGAAUUACAAAUAAAUAUGUGCUCUGAAAAACAACUUUGAAUCAAUUCUGUUAAAACCAAAGACUAUACUUACUAUAACCUUGAAACAACUAGGAGUGAUCUGAUGAGUAACAAAAGGGCUUCUUUUGGUUUUAGCUUUUGUAAAUUUCCAAGAACUUAAUAGAUUUUAAAAUUUAAGUUCCUAUACAGUAUGCAUAAAUCACAUUUAAGUGUCUCUUUUUUACAGACAGUGCUGUAUAAAGAUGGCCAAAGCAUGUCAUGUGCUGAGUUGCCUAAAGCUGUACUUUACUUUUUAUUUGCUAGGCACCAUAGUAAUUUUGUGUCAAAAAACAGGCUCUAAUGUCUUCCUUCAUUUGUUGAAGGGCUGCCAUAUUCACAGGAUCUGUUCACGUACUGUGAUUCUAUGAUGACUUAUUUUAUCAUUAUCUAACAAGAUUAGACAGUUAUCUCCUACUUGAAAAUUAAGGAGAAAAUUGAAAGGCUGGAUUAUGGAAAUGAUAACCCAAAUCCCUUCCUUAUUUUUUUAAAUCAAAUUUAGCUGUUUAAUUAUUUACAUCCUAAUCAAAGGCAGGGGCUUUUAAGCUGCAGCUCUCAGGUGUCCUGUCACCAAUGAUAGUAGUGGACCUUAAUACUUGGUUUAGCUCUGUAGACAGCAGGUAAGAAUUUGACUUUGUCAGCACUUUCAGGACAGGAAUCUGACAGACUGGGCAAUAGAAAACUGUUUUGUUGUUGCAAUCAGCCAGAAGGGUUUGGCUGUCCAAGAUGCCGCAAGACCUUUGGCAUGGUGCGUGGAACGAUUAACAACAAUUGUGCCUACGAUGUGUAUCCUGUUUGGAAUAAAUGAAGGAAUUCAGUCUGUAGCCAGGAAUCCUCCAUGGUCUCAGCAAACCAAGUGGACGCUGAUGCAGUGCUGUCAGGGGUGGUGAGAUCCUGUGGAUGACUCCAUUGAUUCUGAGUGAAAGAGUGGUAUUACUUUGAUAUCCACUCACCAGAAACACAAGGUCUUUUUUUCUAAGAGAUGAUAUUUUUUUCAUAUGGAUUGUUUUUAGCCUUAAUGGACAGGUCAAAUGAUUGCAUAUAUUGAUUCUGUUGGUUCCCAGCUAAGCAUAGAAACAUAGCCUAUAUUUCAAAGCAAUUAUCUAUUUACUGUUGUAUGUUAAAGAAAUAGGCUCAUUCUCUCUACAGCUUGAGUAAUCCUGUGUUUGUAAGCUACAACCAAGCAAGUGUUCAAUUUAAAUUUCCAUUGAGGAAACAUGCAUUGAGUGUUUUAGCCUAUCAGCACUAUAUGCUGUCAGACUGUAAACCAGUAAACGUUUUGGAUGAUUAAA